rnacentral:rRNA from 1 species
UGGCUCAGGAUGAACGCUAGCUACAGGCUUAACACAUGCAAGUCGAGGGGCAGCGCAGUGUAGCAAUACAUGGGCGGCGACCGGCGCACGGGUGCGUAACGCGUAUCCAACCUUCCCGUUACUCUUGGAUAGCCUUCCGAAAGGGAGAUUAAUACAAGAUGGUAUCUGAAUUUCGCAUGUUACUCAGAUUAAAGAUUUAUCGGUAACGGAUGGGGAUGCGUGACAUUAGAUAGAUGGCGGGGUAACGGCCCACCAUGUCUACGAUGUCUAGGGGUUCUGAGAGGAAGGUCCCCCACACUGGAACUGAGACACGGUCCAGACUCCUACGGGAGGCAGCAGUGAGGAAUAUUGGUCAAUGGUCGGAAGACUGAACCAGCCAAGUAGCGUGAAGGAUGAAGGUUCUAUGGAUUGUAAACUUCUUUUAUACGGGAAUAAAACGCUCCACGUGUGGAGCCUUGUAUGUACCGUAUGAAUAAGCAUCGGCUAACUCCGUGCCAGCAGCCGCGGUAAUACGGAGGAUGCGAGCGUUAUCCGGAUUUAUUGGGUUUAAAGGGAGCGUAGACGGGAGAUUAAGUCAGUUGUGAAAGGCUGCGGCUCAACCGCAGCACUGCAGUUGAUACUGGUUUCCUUGAGUGUGGUUGAGGUAUGUGGAAUUCGUGGUGUAGCGGUGAAAUGCUUAGAUAUCACGAAGAACUCCGAUUGCGAAGGCAGCAUACUAAGCCGUAACUGACGUUGAUGCUCGAAAGUGUGGGUAUCAAAACAGGAUUAGAUACCCUGGUAGUCCACACGGUAAACGAUGAAUUAUUCGCUGUUGGCGAUAUAAUGUCAGCGGCCAAGCGAAAGCAUUAAGUAUUCCACCUGGGGAGUACGCCGGCAACGGUGAAACUCAAAGGAAUUGACGGGGGCCCGCACAAGCGGAGGAACAUGUGGUUUAAUUCGAUGAUACGCGAGGAACCUUACCCGGGCUUAAAUUGCAGAGGACAGGCGCAGAGAUGUGCUCUUCUUCGGACCUCUGUGAAGGUGCUGCAUGGUUGUCGUCAGCUCGUGCCGUGAGGUGUCGGCUUAAGUGCCAUAACGAGCGCAACCCUUGCCGGUAGUUACCAUCAGGUUAUGCUGGGGACUCUACCGGGACUGCCAUCGUAAGAUGUGAGGAAGGUGGGGAUGACGUCAAAUCAGCACGGCCCUUACGUCCGGGGCUACACACGUGUUACAAUGGGAGGUACAGAAGGCUGCUACCCGGCGACGGGAUGCCAAUCCCCAAAACCUCUCUCAGUUCGGAUUGGAGUCUGCAACCCGACUCCAUGAAGCUGGAUUCGCUAGUAAUCGCGCAUCAGCCACGGCGCGGUGAAUACGUU